CCUACGGGCGGCUGCAGUGGGGAAUAUUGGACAAUGGGGGCAACCCUGAUCCAGCCAUGCCGCGUGUGUGAAGAAGGCCCUCGGGUUGUAAAGCACUUUCAGUGAGGAAGAACGCCUGGUGGUUAAUACCCAUCAGGAAAGACAUCACUCACAGAAGAAGCACCGGCUAACUCCGUGCCAGCAGCCGCGGUAAUACGGAGGGUGCGAGCGUUAAUCGGAAUUACUGGGCGUAAAGCGCGCGUAGGUGGCUUGAUAAGCCGGUUGUGAAAGCCCCGGGCUCAACCUGGGAACGGCAUCCGGAACUAUCAAGCUAGAGUGCAGGAGAGGAAGGUAGAAUUCCCGGUGUAGCGGUGAAAUGCGUAGAGAUCGGGAGGAAUACCAGUGGCGAAGGCGGCCUUCUGGACUGACACUGACACUGAGGUGCGAAAGCGUGGGUAGCAAACAGGAUUAGAUACCCGUGUAGUC
rnacentral:rRNA from 1 species